CCCAAUUCCGUGGACACAUCCCCGUCCCAUGCUGAUGACAGCCACUGCCUCCACAUUGCCCGGUAUGCCUUCCAGGAAGACUCCGCCAAGGAAUCCGAUACCAAGCCCAUCAGACCUCGAAAUCGAGCUUCCAUAAGGAGUCUGGACACCGCAGACCGGUCCGCUGCGCCUCUGGCGCUGCCUCGCGAAACCGCUCCCACUGCAAGCGAGACAAUGCAUCAGCCACCACGUUCUGAACACCCGGGACAUGCUGCGCCCGCACCCAAACAUUAAACUUAAGACUAAGGAGCACGAGGUGACGGAGAAGAGCCAAAACUGGUGGAGACGAGGAGGACGAACGGGUAAUCACAUGAACCACACUCAUGUUGUCCGUGUGAAAGACCACCGUGUGAUUUCUCAGAUCCUCGCCCCACAGCUCCAGCGCGACCACUAUCGGAAACCGUUCCAAAAAGGUCAAAUUUCUCCUCAAUAAGGAAGACCGCCAAUCCUCCGGCCACUCCCCCGCGCACCACUGACCCCGAAAAUACGCUCCAAAACCAACGGACCCCGAGGCAUCGGUAAAGAGAUCCAACGCGGCAUUGGAGGUGGCCUCCCUCAACCAACAAGAAUGCCCGUUAUAACUACGUAGGAAGGAGCUCCACACCGUCAGAUCCGACCGGAGGCGCCUCGUGAUCCGAAUGUAAUGGAAGGGUUCCCUCACCCCCACCGUGGACAAGGACAAUCUGCGACAAAAUGCCCGACCCAUCGGUAACAUCCGACAUGCGAAAACCAAGUGCCCCAAAAGGCCCUGCAUCUGUCGCAACUGAACCUUCUUGGAACCUUUGACCAAGUCCACUAGCCGAAGCAACCCCUCCAACUUCUCCUCAGGAAGCCAGAAGACCAUGCUCUCGGUAUCGAUUUCGAUACCCAAGAACGAAAGAACCAACACCGGGCCGACCGUUUUUUGUUCCGAUACAGGAACCCCGAACUCCGACGCUACCCGCCGGAAGGCCCGAAGCAACGUCAUACAAUCCUGGGAACCCGACGGACCGACAAACAAAAAAUCGUCCAAGUAAUGGGUCAAAGACCCCAAACCCGAAACUCUAGACGUGACCCAUUCCAAAAAGGAAGAAAACAGUUUGAAAUAAGAACAAGAUAUAGUGCAACCCAUAGGCAUGCACAUAUCAUAACAGAAGCAACCGUUCGCGAAACACCCCAACAAGUGAAAACAAUCCGGAUGAACCGGCAACAAACGAAAGGCCGAUUCAAUAUCCGAUUUUGCCAAUAAAGCCCCACGACCGGCCCGCCGCAGGAGGAGCAAGGCCGAGUCGAAGGACGCA